ACAGGAAUGGGCACAUUCUUCUUAUCCGCCUUGGGCCCACGGUCCAGGUUACAUAAUAUCCCAAGAUAUAGCAAAAUUCAUAGUUCAAGGCCACCAACGGAGGGAGCUCAUGCUUUUCAAACUAGAAGACGUUGCUGUGGGAAUAUGGAUUGAGCAUUUUGAAAAUCAUGGCCACAAAGUGGAAUAUGUCAACAAUGACCGGUUUUUUAUUGCGGGAUGUGAAUCAAAUUAUGUUCUUGCUCAUUAUCAAAAUCCAAGAAUGAUGCUUUGUAUGUGGGAGAAGUUGCAGAAAGAGCACAAGCCCAACUGCUGCGAGUAAAAUCACUGUCCAAAAGAUGUUUUUCACUUACCUAUGUUGUAAGCUCUGUAGUUUUCGAUUUUUAAGGUUUCAAACUUGGGUUUUCUUUGCUCUCAUUCUUUAUUUUGUCAGCCAUGUGAUCAUUUCUCAGAUCUGUUCUUCUUGGAGUAACAAGUAUUGGUGUAGAACAUGGUUAACGUGCUUUGUAUUGUGGACUAGUCCGCGCCAAAGAGGAUUAACGGAAAAAAAGAAGGUAAAAUUUUGUAUCAUCUAUUGUUGUCUUAUACCGUGUAACACCAGAUUGAUUAAGCAUCUUCAUCUUGUGCUUUUGCU